rnacentral:rRNA from 1 species
UACGUAGGUGGCGAGCGUUGUCCGGAAUUACUGGGUGUAAAGGGCGUGUAGGCGGGAAUGCAAGUCAGAUGUGAAAUACCGUGGCUUAACCACGGGGCUGCAUCUGAAACUGUGUUUCUUGAGUGUCGGAGAGGAAAGUGGAAUUCCCAGUGUAGCGGUGAAAUGCGUAGAUAUUGGGAGGAACACCAGUGGCGAAGGCGACUUUCUGGACGAUAACUGACGCUGAGGCGCGAAAGCCAGGGGCG